UUAACGUUAUAAAAUAUUUUUUUCUUAUAUAUAUAUAUAACAUUUGAUAAAAUAAUUUUUAAAUGGUAAAAUCUUAAUUUUAAAUUCUGUGAGACUAUGUCUGGGUUUUGGAUAAUCAUUGGCUAUGACUGGCUAGUCAGCUGUUUAUUUUGCCCUUUAUUUGAUUUUCAUACUAUUGGUAUUUAUCUGAAGAUAAUGCAGUAUUCUGAAAAUUGCUGUCUUUUUAAUUUGAUCAUAAAAUUGAAUGUACCUAGUGAAAAUUACAUUAAAUUUUAUUUUCAGAUGACUUUUGUUGUUACUCUGUCUCAUUAAAUAUUUAUACUCUUCUUUAAGUUUGUUCAUACUUGCGCAUUCUUUUAUUACUAAUUUUAGAUUUAAAUUUUAUGGAUUAUUAUGUGGCACCAAUUGGUUUAAUAACAAACUAAAACAAAAAUUACACAUGUACAAUACUUGGAUCUGCAAUCUACCUGAGUAUUAUGUUUCUGCUCAACUAUAAUACAUUCAAAGAGCUAACUGAUCUAAUCAAAUAAAAUAUUGAUAAAUAUUGAAGUGAAGAAAAUUUGAAACUCCGUUCAGUCCAGGCUAAUUCCAGAUGUAUGGCAAGUCUAUGCAUGAGAGAGAAAGAGAGAAAAUAAGAUGGAACUUGUAGUAGUUACAGAAGCCUUAAUAUUCAGGUUUACUCAUCCUGAAUAUUAAGGCUUUAUUUAUAUGUGACAAUUGUACUCUCAACCAAUUCUAAAUAAGGUAACCACUGAAUAUAACAAUGUUUUUAAAUUAAGAAUUGAGCUUUGAAGAAAGAUUUAUUCAUUAAAUAAUACUUUAUCUGAAAUGCAUCAUAUUAUUAAUCAGCAGGACUGCUAUAUCCAAAAAUCUAUUAAUACUUUUAAUUCUGUUAAAAUAUUAAUAUGUCUCAGUUUAAUUCAAAGAAAAAUGAAUUUAUAUCUGUUGGGAAAUACAAGACUUAUUCUGCAAAUUCUUUUUUUUAUUUGAACAUCUCAUAUCUAUAAUAAAAUUGAGUAUUUUAUUGUCUCUCAUCUAUAUUUUUUUGUUUGUUGUUUAACUUCCAUAUUUAUUAUAAAAUUUAUGAAUUUUAAUUAUUUAUAUGCUGUUAUGAUAUAGAUUUG
rnacentral:lncRNA from 1 species